UUUAUUAUGGUCAUCUAAAAACUUGUGCAAAGUUACACCAACUCAUUUUAACUCACUAUAACAGGUUUUUAAAAAAAAAAUCAAAAUAUAUUUUUGCUUAAUUAAAUAUUUAUCUUUAAUUAAUUUAGAAAAAACAUUAAUCCUUAAUCUUUUAUUCCUCUUCUCUCUUACACCAUAUCCAAAACCCAUUCUGAAAUCCAUUUUUCAUUCAUCAUCUUCAAACCCCCAUGCCACCCAGCCACCAUCAAUCCAAAACCUGCAAAACUCACAAGGUAAGAACAAGACAAUCGUGUGGGAACAUGGAAGAAGCGACGGCGGGUUGUGAGUUUUGGGAAGCGACGGCGUUUUGGUCGGUUGUGGUUGUGGGGUUUUGCUCCGUCUCCAUGGGAGCUCUCACUUUGCUUUGAGAGAGAAACCUCAACUGAAAACAAGUGGUGAUAGAUUUAUGGGUUUCUCGUUCUCCAACCGCAACUCCAACCUCAGAUCUGCAGUAAAAUCUUCUUCUUCUGCAACCACAAAUUUGCAAUCUGGGUUUCCUAAGUUGGGGUUUUGGUAGUUCUUGGGUUUCUAGGUUUGCUGGUUAAAAUGAUUUGUUGGGUUCUUCAUUUGGGUUUCUGGGUUUGCUUUUUCAAUUUUUGUUGCUGGUUCUGAUCCCCCCACUCAUUCUUUUUCUUUGAAGGAGCAUCCAUGGCUGCAUGUCAUUGCUUUGCUAGGUUUGAAGGGAUCCAUAGCUGCUGAACGAGAACAAGAUCUGGGAAUUCUGGGUUGGGAAUAUUGUGCAGGUUAUGGUUUCAUAUCUGGGGGUGGGUUUCUCAUGAGGUGGGAGAAGAUGAUGGGUUGAGGAAGGAGGAAGAUAAUUUAUUCACUAAUUAACCUAAUCCUUCAUUAAUUAAUUUACUAAUAUAUAUGUUUUUUUGAUUUUUUUUUAAAACCUGCUAAACCUACUAUUGCAGGUCAAAAUGGCAUGGUGUAACCUUACACAAGUUUUUAGAAGACCAUAAUAAACUCCUCCCCGCAUAUAUCCCAUGUUUAUAUUAUUUUUAACGGUGAUACACUUGUUUACACAGAUAAAGAAUAGUAUGAAACUAUGAAUUAUAUGCUAUAUUUUAUUUGCAGGAUAAAAGGUUGAGGACGAAAAAAUCAUCCACAGCAAUUUCACAGAUAAAUAUCAGCAGAGCAAUGGUUGCUAUCAAUGAAAGCCUGGUCAAGACAAUGCUAUGUGUGUCAGGAAAAAGAUAGAAAUCUGCAAGGGCCGGGUCAAGGGUCGGGUCUUGGAGCGGUUUUUCCGAUACCUAUGCAGGAUGUCUGAAAACGUAGGUACGGAGUAUCUUCUCUGCAGAUUGCAAAUCUGCUGCAAUCUUCCCCUCUUCCCCAUUUACCCCCCUUUUCUCAUCUUCUUUCUUUGUCAAAUGCGCAUGGCAGCUAUAAAAACCCAAACGGUGAUCAGCCAUUGGCACCGCUUGAGUCAUGAGUAAUCCCUCCGAUAGACUUCUCGAAACACCCAUCUUUUGUUAAGGUUUUGGUGUCAUGGCUUCGUUGUCUCGAAAUACCGAGAUUUGCCUCUAUUCUUCCCUCUCUGUUGUGCUUCCCUUUCAAUAGCCGCCGCCCCACUUCACCGGAGAACCGACAAACACCCCCUUCAACAACCGCAAGCAUCCCCGACGACACAACCACCGCAAAACCCAGUUUGCAAGAGGUGAUCCCCUACAGUGUCAAGGUGAAUGCUCCUAAUGGUGUUGAUGUUAAUGUCUCACCAAAGCAAGCUUGUGUUCAGUGCUAAGAACAAGACACAGGCUUUUGAGGUCACUCUCACUACAGUUGGGUAUGGUGGUUCUCAGAGUUUUGGGUCCAUUGAGUGGAGUGAUGGAAGUUACCGUGUGAAGAGCCUAAUUGCUGUGAGAUUUGGCAGUGGAUCCUCAUCAUCAUCCAUGUGAAUUGCACUCAAGAAUCAAGAUUGUUGCUGUGGAAACACGUCUUACACAGGUUAUGGGUUCAACGUCAGCCUCUUUGGAAUUUUAAUUUUAGCCUAUUGUACAAAGUACUACAAACUACAAAAUAUUUAUUAUGUAUGGUGGUAUUCUCAAUGAUGUUUCAUACAGUUGUACUCUAGAUUAAUCUGAAAUAGUUGUUGAAGGUCUUAUAAUAAUUUAUGGGGUUAAAAUAGAAUCUUGCAUAAAAUGUAUGCGGAUAAUUCGGGUGUUACAUAUUGAUCUCAUCUGAUAUGUUGGUGUAUCAUGUAAAACAAGAUGUAAGAUGUAUAUCAGUACAUCAUGGCACCUGAAUUUCAAAAAUAAAUGUACUCUAUUAUGAAGUUAUUUAUUUACAUUUGAAAAACUCAAUGUACAUGGAUAUUUAUAAUUUUCUAGCAUCACAACAGGA